rnacentral:lncRNA from 1 species
AUUGGGGGAAUAAUAAAAAGCUAUACCUAAGAGAAACAUUUUCCAUUACUGUUAAAACCCGAUAAACUUGAAAGAUGACCGGUGACUCGAAAAAUGGUUUUACUUGAACGCCUGUGACACUCAAUUGACUGGGAUGCCAUGUUGGUGCCGACAGUUUCAGAGUUCCUUAACAGACAAAGGUUCCCUAAAAGUAGUGUUGGCCUCACUUAGAUUUCACGGCAAUUAUUUUCCAAUCAUCGAUGACGAGUCAG